rnacentral:ncRNA from 1 species
AACUAAGUUUCCUUGUUUUAACAAAAUCCUAUCAUAUAAUUUUUAUCCCUAUAAAAGCCAUUAAGAAUGUAGGGGAAUUAUAUUUUUAUAUACAGCCAUACCAAUAACUACAGAAGGUCUCUAAGGUGAACAGCCUCUAGUCUAUAUAAUAAUGUAGAUAAGGGAAGUUGGCAAAAUAGAUCUGUAACUUUGGGAAAAGGAUUGGCUCUAAGGGUUAGGUAUUAGGGGGUACUUGAUGAAAAGGUAACUAAUAUAGCUGUUAGCAAUGAUAGCUUAAUUGGUUUAAUUGAAUUUGAGACCAUCCCUUUUACAAAUAAUAACCAACUCAGAACUAGUAUGGAUAAGGGAAAUCUGACUGUCUAAUUAAAACAUAGCAUUGUGAUGGUUGUAACUCAAUGUUUACACAAUGUGAUUUCUGCCCAGUGCUCUAAAUGUCAAAGUGAAGAAAUUUAACCAAGCGCAGGUAAACGGCUAGAGUAACUAUGACUCUCUUAAGGUAGCCAAAUGCCUUGCCAUCUAAUUAGUAACACACAUGAAUAGAUUAACAAGAUUCCUACUGUCCCUAUCUACUAUCUAGCAAAACCAUAGCCAAGGGAACGGGCUUGGAAAGGUUAGCAGGGAAAGAAGACUGUGUUGAGCUUGACUCUAAUUUGAUACUGUGAAAAGAUAUGGAGGGUAUAGCAUAAGCAGGAGAACUUGUUCAAACUUGAAAUACUACUACCUUUAUUGUUUUUUUACUUAUAGGAUUAAAUAAAGUUAGUUUUACUAUUUUAGUAUUAAAUAUCUUUGGAUAUGAUUUACUUCCUCAACACUGUCAGGUGGGGAGUUUGGCUGGGGUGGCACAUUUGCUAAAUAAUAACUAAGUAUAAAGGGGAGUUUAUAAAGAGUAAAAAUGUUUAGAUAAUAAAAGCAAAGAGUGCCCUUAAUUUUUAUUUUCAGUUUUUUAUAUUAAAAGUUUAAAUAUUAAUGCAUUUUAUCUUAUUUCAUUCUUUAAAUCAAGUUAUAUAAUUGGUUAGUCUAUAUUUUCUUGCAUAAAAAUAUAUAAUAAUUUGCAAAUUCUUUAAUUAUAACUAAUUAACCUCUAUUUUAAGCUAUAUGAAACACUCUGUAAAUAUCUAUAAUUCAUAAAAACAACUUAAUUCUGUUUUUGAGUAAAAUAUAGCCAAUCAAUUAAUAAUAUAUAUUUUUUAUGC